GAAACCUGGCUCAAAAUCUCGCCGGCCCUUGAAUAUUUGUCUCGAUUUCCCACCUUAAAAAUUGGAAAAAUGAGCCCUCAAAAGACAUUACUUGCUUGUAUAACAGGCCAAUGUGUCUCUCUAGAAGCACCCAAAUCUGCCGCCGAUCUGGAGGGAAGGAUAGCUAGGGCUUCCCGAAAUUACUCUCCGUAUCCGGGAAUCAAUGUACUGAGGGUUGAUCGAAACCGGCUUCUUGAUCUUGCAGAGUAUUUAAAUUCUUCUCUAACAUUCAAGAUCAAGGUGGAUGGCGAACCAACAGAAUUAGAGGUCGAGGGAUAUAACCUUAUCAGCUACCAUCUCAUUAUUGUGAAAGUGGAGGGUCAAAAAAUAAUGCUGCAUGGCAUAAAGGAGGGUAGAGAACCGUGGGAUGGCGAUGACCUGGAUUGGGAGAACAUAAUGGAAGCCAAUGAUUAUGGAUGGAAUUUGGGCACGGGGACCAUCUAGACAUGGUGAACGGCAAGAUAAAUUGGUCAGUGCUAAAUAUUAAAGCUUCAACAAGGGUUGUCCAAGUUUCCAAGCUUAGUAGAUUGAUGUUUUGUGGUUGCUUCCAGUUGUUUGUCGUCCGCCAAGUUAUAAACUAAGUUAUGAGAAUUAUAGUUAUGUAAUACAUUUAUUUGGUUUGGAACAUUUUAAGUUCGCUGCUUCUCUGUUGUUUGAAUCUUUGAAGA